CAUGUCGUUUUCUAGGGUUCCGUGGCGUUCAUCGCCAGACUGGUCCAAGGGGAAACACACAGCGAAUACGCUGUGGUCACGGAGGGGAAAAAGCCCGGGAGUC
rnacentral:sRNA from 2 species